rnacentral:rRNA from 1 species
GUGUCAGCAGCCGCGGUAAUACGUACUGUGCGAACGUUAUUCGGAAUCACUGGGCUUAAAGGGUGCGUAGGCGGCCGUUUAAGUAGGGUGUGAAAUGCCAGAGCUCAACUUUGGCAUUGCGCUCUAGACUGAAUGGCUUGAGUGAGAUAGGGGUGUGCGGAACUUCCAGUGGAGCGGUGAAAUGUGUUGAUAUUGGAAGGAACGCCGGUGGCGAAAGCGGCACACUGGGUCUUAACUGACGCUGAGGCACGAAAGCCAGGGGAGCGAACGGGAUUAGAUACCCCGGUAGUCC